UGGGCCGAAAUAAAGGUUUCGGCCCACCACCCUUUCCGGUCCGCGAAGCGAGGACGUGAGGCGCGGGGGUGGCAGCCCAUUAGCAUGGCACUGGCGUGUCCCAUGCGUGGGUGGCAAAUGGGCUGGCCUGGCUUAAGGGAGGGGAGGAGGGUUCGGUUAGGCAAACCCUAACCCUUCCUCCCCUUCAAGCCACCUCCGCCACCUAGCUCGGGAGGGCGCAGCGCCGUCAUCGCCCUCAGCCAAGGCCGCCCCGUCGGGCACCGGCGUGGCUGGGGCCGGCCGCCGCAGCCGAGGCUGCUGCCUCGGACGUCGCUGCCAUCGGGCUGCCGCCACCACCGCUGAGGAUGCCGCUGAGGACGCCACCCACGCCGCCGGGCAGCCGCCGACGCCGUGGUGACGCUAAUGCCGCUACCGCCGCCACCCUGCACCCUCCCCCCACCUCCUGGACCCUUCACUGCCCUUGCUCAGGCCUCCCCCUCACCCUAGGGUGGGGGACGGCUAGACUUGCCGCCGCCGCUUGUCUUGGCCGGGACAUGCCCGGUCUUGAUGACACGACAGGGGUCGGGGAACGGAGGGGCCGGUGGAGGGGCAGAGUUCUCGCCGGAGCCCCCUGCUGCCAUGUAGAAUGGCGGGGCUCCGCGACAUGCAGCGAGGGUUCCUUUGAGGAGGAACUCCGGCGGAUUAGCCGGUGUCAGUGUGUGCAACGGCGUCUCCAGCGAAUAGUCCGGCGAUGGUGAUCGAGAAAUGGCGCGGCGAAGAUGCUGGGUCCAACCGUGAUGAGGACAGAAGGCCGUCACCAUGUCGGGCAGCUCCUGCUGCGGCCGCACCCUCGCUGUCCACCCAUGGGAUUCACGGUGAUGCGGGGACUCCACCAGAAUCCUUUCUGGUGCAGUGCACAUGUCGGGCACCACCAGAGGCCCUUGGUGAGUUGCGAGGGUGCUGGAGUAGGUGUUGUCGGCUCCGGUGUUCCUUCGGGCAGCAGCGCCGCUGCUGUGGCGUCAUCCUUCACGUCCAGCGAAGCCAAGGGGAGGAGAUGGGGGGCCACGGCCCCUGCCGCAUCGAGCACGACGCACUGGAGCCCGAAGGAUCCUCUCAAGCUGAUGCAUGAGUUGACGGAGACGACGGGCACGGAUGUUGCGAGGAAGGGAAGAACCGGCAUCGAGAGAAACAUUGGAACCGUGGUUCCUAGGCCCCAUCUAUUAUGGGCCGGGCAACACUACUAUCAGCCACUCCAUCUUGAUCGUGGGCUACGACGUCGACGACCUGGGAGACCUUUACUGGGUCGUCAAGAACUCAUGGGGUAAACAGUGGGGCGAUCAGGUACAUCUUCAUCAGCGCCGCGGCCAACGACGGGAUCGUUAGCCAGUCAGGGGUCGCCGGCAUCCUCACCAGUGCGAUAUAUGUUCAGUAGCUGUGCUGGUGCUACUGGAAUUUGGAGACCAAGGAGUGCCCAACGUGAAAAUAAAUAAAUAAAUAAGAAGAAAGAGAAACAGGUCAGAAAAGAAAAACGGGUGUUUGAUACAGCUUCUGUGAGCAGUGAUUAUCUGAAAAUCAAGCUGUCCUGAGAAUCUGCUAGCUGGAGAAGUUAUGAAUUUGGCAACUUGAUUUUUUUUUUUUGGUGUGUGAUUGUCUGCUAAGGGUACAAUGACAUGUAUGUCCUUGAAGCUUGAUAAGUUAUCUGCACCAAUGUUUAAUAUUACAAUAUGACAUUUCUCUCUUAAAAAUCGUAUCUGCACAUGUACACAGGCUGAAACGAAUUGAUUCAACAUUGAACUGAACGAAAACAUCGCAAAAUAAUGCUUAGGAAGAAAUCUCAUACUGUGUACGCACACAAUUUUGCAUCGAGGAAAAAUUACUCCUAAACAGCAGAAGCAUACAACAUACGCACUAAUCAAUUUUGCAUCGAUACAGUGAAGGAGCAGAUGCCUCCCACAAUGUAGAAUUACUGCUCGGGGAGGUUACUGUAUAUCCUGUCCAAAGACCCUGCAAACACAUGAUCCUUUAGGUGAAACAAAAACAACACAACUUUUGAGAAUUAAAAAUGAGAUCAAUAUUAUAAACCCUCUUACAUGUAGUAACUUAGUUGCAUAGGAAAAAUUCUUUUGACACAUGACAAAAUUGAGCCCACCUAGCUAGUAUGUUUUCCCAUGCAUAUGUGACUAAAGAAAAUAUUGUUGAAAUGUCACAUGGUUCCUUUUACACUUGGCAAAAUUUCUGCUGAGAAUGUUUCUAAAAGAUGAGAGAUUAGGCUGCUGUUUUAGCUUCUGUCAUCAUUUCGUAAAAACUAAUAGCUGAUCGCGACCUGAACCACAAGUCACCAAAUAGUCAGAUUUAGGAACUGCAAAUGAAAUUAUCAGUUACUUCGUAGGGAAAUUCAGUUAGUUGUAGUGUUGCUUCCCAAACUUUGCUGCAAAACUGAAACAUUAUGCACUGCUUAACACAACUGGUACUAACAUUGUUGAUUAUCCAUAUGAGUGUCCCUCACAUUGUUGUAUACUAGUUGCAUAACAGUACAAGCCAUUCAUUCACAGUAAAACACAGCUGCCCCAACUUCGACCUGAAGUUCAUUCGCAGUAAAACAGCUGCCCCAACUCAGGGGUGGGCCCUAUAUACGAGUAGUUCUUUUUUUUUUCAAAAGCGUGCUUUAGUACGUGCUUGUGCUUCAUUAAGUGGAAUAAGGAGGCUUUACAAACUCGAUCUAUGCUAAAUCGUGUAUGAGCUUAUAUGGAUUUAAUUGUACUACUUCUCUAUCAUUAGGUUUGCCCAAGCUCAUCCGCCGCUCCCCCCUCCCCUCCUCUUCCUCUCCAUCUUUUCCCCCUUCUCCUCCCUCACAACUCCAUGGAGACCAGCGGGGUAGUAGUUGGGGCUCGCCUCCCCCCUCCCGCUAGCUCCGCCGCUGGCCGUGCCUAACACGGAGGGCACAUAACAUAAAUCGCCCACAGCCUCAUCAUGGCCACCCACUCCCGGCCUCGUUGAUUUCUCGUCUUUGCGCGUUGGGCCGUCGACUUCGUGUUGUCUGGCCACUGAUCCAUCGCCACCUGAUUCCCCUCCAUUGCUGCUGGAGCUCCACCUGCAGCGUCCUCGUUGCUUUGAUCUGCUUCCUCAUCACCAAUCCCAGCGUCUCGUCCCAUCCAUGCCACUUGUGCACGGAUUCCUGCACACCGGCGGUCCGCGUGCAAGGAGACGAAGUAGCGGCACGCCGGCACCAAAUUGCAUUAGCUGCAACGGCUCUCCUCGCCUUGAGGAACGAGGGGAGAGAGAGAGGAAAGGAAGAUAGAUGAGG